rnacentral:rRNA from 1 species
GACGAACCGUGCGAACGUUAUUCGGAAUCACUGGGCUUAAAGCGCGUGUAGGCGGGACGGCACGUCGGCCGCUGAAAUCCCCCGGCUUAACCUGGGAACUGCGUCUGAUACUGGGAGGCUAGAGUAUGGGAGAGGGAUGUGGAAUUCCAGGUGUAGCGGUGAAAUGCGUAGAUAUCUGGAGGAACACCGGUGGCGAAGGCGGCAUCCUGGACCAUAACUGACGCUGAUCCGCGAAAGCUAGGGGAGCAAACGGG